rnacentral:rRNA from 1 species
GACGGCCAGGUGUGUGGAUGGGUAGGGGAGCGUCGUGUGGCGGUAGAAGCGGCGGAGUGAUCCAGCCGUGGACGCCACGCGAGUGAGAAUGCAGGCAUGAGUAGCGAGAGGGGAGUGAGAAACUCCCCCGCCGGAAGACCAAGGGUUCCUGGGCCAGGCUAAUCCGCCCAGGGUGAGUCGGGACCUAAGGCGAGGCCGACAGGCGUAGUCGAUGGACAACGGGUUGAUAUUCCCGUACCCGCGAAGGAACGCCCAUGCUGAACCCAGCGAUACUAACCGCCCGAACACCCGUUGCCGGCUCUUUCGAGGGUCGGUGCGGGGACUAGCGCGGGACCUGGACUGGUAGUAGGCAAGCGAUGGGGUGACGCAGGAAGGUAGUCCUACCGGUGAGUGGUAGUACCGGUGCAAGGGUGUGGCCCGUGGGAUAGGUAAAUCCGUUCCACAUACAGGGUGAGGCCUGACGCAUAGCCGAAUGAGGCGAAUGGGAUGAUCCUAUGCUGCCGAGAAAAGCCUCUAGCGAGUUCCGAGCGGCCCGUACCCCAAACCAACUCAGGUGGUCAGGUAGAGAAUACCAAGGCGAUCGAGCGAACUGUGGUUAAGGAACUCGGCAAAAUGCCCCCGUAACUUCGGGAGAAGGGGGGCCAUCUACUGUCAACCGCCUUGCGCGGGGUAGCGGUGGGUGGCCGCAGAGACCAGUGAGAAGCGACUGUUUACUAAAAACACAGGUCCGUGCGAAGUCGUAAGACGAUGUAUACGGACUGACGCCUGCCCGGUGCUGGAACGUUAAGGGGACGGGUUAGUCCUUCGGGGCGAAGCUCAGAACUCAAGCGCCAGUAAACGGCGGUGGUAACUAUAACCAUCCUAAGGUAGCGAAAUUCCUUGUCGGGUAAGUUCCGACCUGCACGAAUGGCGUAACGACUUCUCAGCUGUCUCAACCACAGGCUCGGCGAAAUUGCACUACGAGUAAAGAUGCUCGUUACGCGCGGCAGGACGGAAAGACCCCGGGACCUUCACUAUAGCUUGAUAUUGGUGUUCGGUUCGGCUUGUGUAGGAUAGGUGGGAGACUGUGAAGCGGGCACGCCAGUGUUCGUGGAGUCGCCGUUGAAAUACCACUCUGGUCGAAUUGGAUGUCUAACCUCGGUCCGUGAUCCGGAUCAGGGACAGUGUCAGGUGGGUAGUUUAACUGGGGCGGUUGCCUCCCAAAAUGUAACGGAGGCGCCCAAAGGUUCCCUCAGCCUGGUUGGCAAUCAGGUGUUGAGUGCAAGUGCACAAGGGAGCUUGACUGCGAGACCGACGGGUCGAGCAGGAGCGAAAGCUGGGACUAGUGACCCGGCACCGGCAUGUGGAAGCGGUGUCGCUCAACGGAUAAAAGGUACCCCGGGGAUAACAGGCUGAUCUUCCCCAAGAGUCCAUAUCGACGGGAUGGUUUGGCACCUCGAUGUCGGCUCGUCGCAUCCUGGGGCUGGAGUAGGUCCCAAGGGUUGGGCUGUUCGCCCAUUAAAGCGGUACGCGAGCUGGGUUUAGAACGUCGUGAGACAGUUCGGUCCCUAUCCGCCGCGCGCGUAAGAGACUUGAGAAGAGCUGUCCCUAGUACGAGAGGACCGGGACGGACGAACCUCUGGUGUGCCAGUUGUACCGCCAGGUGCACUGCUGGUUGGCUACGUUCGGCAGGGAUAACCGCUGAAAGCAUCUAAGCGGGAAGCUCGCUUCAAGAUGAGGUCUCUCACCCAGUCAAUGGGGUAAGGCCCCCGCCCAGACCAGCGGGUUGA